UCUUCCCUUUUGAAAUGUGAUUUAAUGGAAGAGAGUGUUAUAAGGGCCACUCAAUCUGAGGCUGCUUAUUUGUCUCUGUUAAACAGACAGUAAAAAAGGAUCCAGUGAA